rnacentral:tRNA from 1 species
GCGGUUGUGGCGGAAUUGGUAGACGCGUAUGAUUCAGGUUCAUAUGGCCAUAUGGCCGUGAAGGUUCAAGUCCUUUCAACCGCA